rnacentral:rRNA from 1 species
UCACUCUAGCGAGACUGCCGGUAAUAAACCGGAGGAAGGUGGGGAUGACGUCAAAUCAUCAUGCCCCUUAUGACCUGGGCUACACACGUGCUACAAUGGCUGGUACAACGAGUCGCAAGCCGGUGACGGCAAGCUAAUCUCUGAAAGCCAGUCUCAGUUCGGAUUGUAGGCUGCAACUCGCCUACAUGAAGUCGGAAUCGCUAGUAAUCGCGGAUCAGCACGCCGCGGUGAAUACGUUCCCGGGCCUUGUACACACCGCCCGUCACACCACGAGAGUUUGUAACACCCGAAGUCGGUGAGGUAACCGUAAGGAGCCAGCCGCCUAAGGUGGGAUAGAUGAUUGGGGUGAAGUCGUAACAAGGUAACCGUAAA